rnacentral:lncRNA from 1 species
UCUGAUGGUAACACCAACUGAAAACAAGCACCAAGCUACAGCCACUGAUCGGAACCCUAGAUCUGACCCCAAAACCUCACUCCGAGUUGACUCACCAACACAUGCACAGUCAACUCGGUGAUAACUCACCCUCUCCACUCAGCACAAACCCAGAUUUCUGCACACACAACACCAAAACCCUCACAGAAGAGGAUUAAGGCCAGAAAAGAGAAGGUUUGAAUAAAAGGUGAAU